AGGCCGGCCAGUGCGGCAACCAGAUCGGGGCCAAGUCUGGGAAGUCAUCAGUGAUGAGCAUGGCAUCGACCCCAGCGGCAACUACGUGGGCGACUCGGACUUGCAGCUGGAGCGGAUCAGCGUCUACUACAACGAGGCCUCUUUCACAAGUACGUGCCUCGAGCCAUUCUGGUGGACCUGGAACCCGGAACCAUGGACAGUGUCCGCUCAGGGGCCUUUGGACAUCUCUUCAGGCCUGACAAUUUCAUCUUUGUCAGAGUGGGGCCGGCAACAACUGGGCCAAGGGUCACUACACG
rnacentral:lncRNA from 1 species